GAUGAACGCUGGCGGCGUGCCUAAUACAUGCAAGUCGAGCGAACGGACGAUAAGCUUGCUUCUCUGAUGUUAGCGGCGGACGGGUGAGUAACACGUGGAUAACCUACCUAUAAGACUGGGAUAACUUCGGGAAACCGGAGCUAAUACCGGAUAAUAUUUUGAACCGCAUGGUUCAAAAGUGAAAGACGGUCUUGCUGUCACUUAUAGAUGGAUCCGCGCUGCAUUAGCUAGUUGGUAAGGUAACGGCUUACCAAGGCAACGAUGCAUAGCCGACCUGAGAGGGUGAUCGGCCACACUGGAACUGAGACACGGUCCAGACUCCUACGGGAGGCAGCAGUAGGGAAUCUUCCGCAAAGGGCGAAAGCCUGACGGAGCAACGCCGCGUGAGUGAUGAAGGUCUUCGGAUCGUAAAACUCUGUUAUUAGGGAAGAACAUAUGUGUAAGUAACUGUGCACAUCUUGACGGUACCUAAUCAGAAAGCCACGGCUAACUACGUG
rnacentral:rRNA from 1 species